AAAGAUGGUGCGAUGAUCGCUUGAGAAAUCAAGAGGAAAGUCCGGGCUCCACUGGGAAAAAAACCAGGUAACUCCUGGCGAGUGUGAACUUAGGGAAAGUGCAACAGAAAAUAUACCGCCUUUAUCUUUAAAGGUAAGGUUGAAAUGGCGAGGUAAGAGCUCACCGCUUUGUUGGUAACAGCAAAGGCAGUGCAAACCCUUUUUGGAGCAAGGUCAAAUAGGAAUGACAAUCAGUUCCCAGCUGAGUUAUUCGGGUAGACUGCUUGAGAUAAUUGGUAACAUUUAUCCUAGAUUAAUGAUCAUCACUUUACUUUGUAAUUUACAGAACCCGGCUUAUGCAUCAUCUUUAAAA
rnacentral:RNase_P_RNA from 1 species